GCAUGUCUCAGUAUAAGUGUUUCACUGCGAAACUGCGAAUGGCUCAUUAAAACAGUUAUAGUUUCCAUGUCAGUUGUUAAUUACCUGGAUCCUUAUGGAAAUUCUAGAGCUAAUACACGCGUCCAAACCCGACUUUUUGGAAGGGUUGUGCUUAUUAGACAC
rnacentral:rRNA from 1 species